rnacentral:rRNA from 1 species
GUGAACGCUGGCGGUAGGCCUAACACAUGCAAGUCGAACGGCAGCACCGUAAGAGCUUGCUCUUACGGGUGGCGAGUGGCGGACGGGUGAGGAAUACAUCGGAACCUACUUUUUCGUGGGGGAUAACGUAGGGAAACUUACGCUCAUACCGCAUACGACCUACGGGUGAUAGCAGGUGAUCUUCGGACCUUGCGCGAUUGAAUGAGCCGAUGUCGGAUUAGCUAGUUGGCGGGGUAAAGGCCCACCAAGGCGACGAUCCGUAGCUGGUCUGAGAGGAUGAUCAGCCACACUGGAACUGAGACACGGUCCAGACUCCUACGGGAGGCAGCAGUGGGGAAUAUUGGACAAUGGGCGCAAGCCUGAUCCAGCCAUACCGCGUGGGUGAAGAAGGCCUUCGGGUUGUAAAGACCUUUUGUUGGGAAAGAAAAGCAGCAGGUUAAUACCCCGCUGUUCUGACGGUACCCAAAGAAUAAGCACCGGCUAACUUCGUG